UUUAAAGCUUAUAUUUUAAGUUAUUCUAUGGGUUGAAGAUGGUGUUACAGUUAGCAAGGGUUUUACCUCUGUUCCCAAACCCAUGUAGCACAGAUGUACAUCGUCCGUCUGGAUCAGUUGGAUUGGGGUGGGUAGGUUUGCAGACCCAGAUAGGGGUUGGAGGGUAGGGAGAGUGAUUUCAGGGAUUGGAAAUCCCAUCCCUUGAUUUGCCCCUGUCAUCUCUGUUUUCCCCUCAUCUUUCUAACCCCUUCUCUUUCAUUCUCUUUCAGACUCUCCCUUUCUCCCAGCUCUCCAUCUCUCUCAACCCUCACCCUUUUCAAUUUUUAUUCUAAAGGACCGCCCCCUGAGAACAAAUGUCAACUUACAGAACAUGGCCAAUUCGACAAUCCGAUAAAACCAUAGGCACCAUGUGCAUUCCUGCUGGCAUUGGCCCUCCACCAUGUAUCAUUGGCUGUUCAUGUACAAAACCCGUUAGAAGAAAUUAGAUUACCAAGACAUAAGAGGACCAAUGUAAAUUCAGUGAUGUACCUGCUGAAAGCCUGCAGCAACACCAUAUCCAGCCCCCACAGAGCCAUAUGGAUUUCCGCCAAAACCACCACCAUAACGUGGGUGUGCAAGGUGGUUUGCAUGAGGCCCGGCAUUGUACGAAUAAGCCCCAUCAGGUUUCUUCUCAGUCUGAGGCUUCGCAAGGACAACUUCGAGUGGAUGACCUAUAAAACCCAGAGGCCGAGAGGCCUGAGUCCACAUCGCAACUCGCCACUCCGCCGCCGUCGACUGAGAGAACAUCAUCGAUCCCGACUUUUGGAUUGAUUUCCUUGCCACCUCCGUUCACAGUGUAGGGAGCGACGGCUAUCCCACCGCCGAGGCCUAUCUCUUCAAAGUCGUUCAUUUGGAUAGAGUAGAUAGAGAGAUUGUCGGAUUUGUCAUCUGGGUUUGGAGAGUAACAGCCACGAAUUCGGGGCUCCGAUUGAAUUGGGUUGUUCUUACAAGGAUGAUUUGGCUGCCGCCCACAAGAACUGUGCUGGUUCAAGAUUAAGGGCAACAAGAAAGGAAAUCUUUUAUGGCUCUAAAGCUGUUUCAUGAAAUGAAAAUUCAGAAAUGUAGACCCAACAUAUGCAUGUAUUCGGCUUUGGUAAAUGCAUUUGCAAGGGAAGGACUUUGUGAGAAAGCGGAGGAAAAUUUUUAGCAGAUGCAAGAAGCAGGGCACGAGCCUGAUGUGUAUGCGUACUAUGCCCUUAUGGAAGCUUAUAGUUUAGUCUCUGAUGGAUUCUGUAGUUUAAUUUGAGCGGUUUGAUCAAGUAUAAAUGUACAAAACUUCCAUUGUAUGAUAUGCAGCGCUAUAUAUCCGAACUUCUAUAAGAUUUUGCUCCCCAACAGUUGUGCAGGGUUUCCUUAUGGGGCUGCGGAAUUUUUUUUCUCUAAUGCAGCACAUAGGAUGUGAACGCGAUAGAGCUUCAUAUAGUAUCAUGGUAGAUGCAUAUGGGAGACCUGGUCUUCAUGAAGGUGGAAGGUGAGAGAGAGAACUGCAAAUCUUUUUCUGGAAUAUUGAGGGUGGAAGUUCCUUGAACUGAUAAUCUGGCCUUUCCCAACUCAAAACAAGUUCUAUUAUUGUGCUGCACCGGAGUGAUGGCAACCAUGUUACAUUCCGAGUCCAGACGGUUAUAUGCUUGGUGGUGGGAUAGUCACAUUUCAAAGAAUUCAAAACGGCUUCAGGAGAAUCUUACAGGAAUGGCAAUCCUCGGCUUUCGUGUUUUGGAUUGAUGAAAAACGGAAGGAAUGGAAAAAGUUACAACACUAAUCUUGCUCACACGUCCUGAAUAUCUAAGAAAUGAUGAGGCUGAACCAAAGUGUAAGGUAAAACGUUGGCUUCACUAGAAGAAAGAAAAAAAAAAUCUGCAAAAGGAGCAAUUGAAGUGAUGGAAAUUGGGGACAAAAUGAGAAAUUGGGUGCUUUUUAUCACAAUGGACAAGUUGUUACAAGGUAAUCACACUGGUAAUAUAAAUUGAAUUUUUAUUUUAGAAUUAGCAUUUUUCUUGAGGUUCAACUGCUUGGAAAGGUAUUUUGAAAUUUUAUUUUAGAAUUAGUGUUCUUUUUUAUUUAGAACAAAAGGUCAAUAAUUUCCUUCUUACAUUCCACGUGUAUGUAAAUAUAGUAUUGCCUAUUGUUAAUAAACAAUGAGACAUCAAUCACAUGUGUGUACAUAGUACAUUUCCAAUUAAAACUUAUGACAUGCAUUAUAUGAUUU